rnacentral:rRNA from 1 species
UACGAAGGAGGCUAGCGUUGCUCGGAAUCACUGGGCGUAAAGCGCACGUAGGCGGAUUGCUAAGUCAGGGGUGAAAUCCUGGAGCUCAACUCCAGAACUGCCUUUGAUACUGGCGACCUUGAGUCCGGGAGAGGUGAGUGGAACUGCGAGUGUAGAGGUGAAAUUCGUAGAUAUUCGCAAGAACACCAGUGGCGAAGGCGGCUCACUGGCCCGGUACUGACGCUAAGGUGCGAAAGCGUGGGGAGCAAACAGG